GACGAACGCUGGCGGCAUGCCUAACACAUGCAAGUCGAACGAGACCUUCGUGUCUAUUGGCGCACGGGUGCGUAACGCGUGGGAACCUGCCCUUAGGUUCGCUAUAACUCCCCGAGGGGGAUGCUAAUGCCGGUGAAUGUCUUCGGGCCAAAGAGUUAUCGCCUUUGGGUGGGCGCUCGUUGGUUUAGCUGGUUGGUAGGGUAAAAGCCUACCAAGGGGUCGAUCCUUAGCUGGUCUGAGAGGAUGCUAAGCUACACUGGGACUGAGACACAGCCCCGUCUCCUACGGGAGGGUGGAGUGGGGAAUAUUAGAGAAGGGGGGAAGGCCUGAUACAGCAGCGCGGGGGGAGACAUGCAGCCCUUAGGGUUGUAAAGCCCUUUUACACGAGAUGAUAAUGACAGUACCGGGAAAAUAAGCUCCGGCUAACUCCGUG
rnacentral:rRNA from 1 species